rnacentral:rRNA from 1 species
AUUGAACGCUGGCGGCAGGCCUAACACAUGCAAGUCGAACGAGUGGCGGACGGGUGAGUAAUGUCUGGGAAACUGCCUGAUGGAGGGGGAUAACUACUGGAAACGGUAGCUAAUACCGCAUACCCUCAGAUGUGCACAGAUGGGAUUAGCUCGUUGGUGUGGGAACGGCUCACAAAGGCGACGAUCCCUAGCUGGUCUGAGAGGAUGACCAGCCACACUGGAACGGAGACACGGUCCAGACUCCUACGGGAGGCAGCAGUGGGGAAUAUUGAACAAUGGGCGCAAGCCGGAUGCAGCCAUGCCGCGUGUAUGAAGAAGGCCUUCGGGUUGUAAAGUACUUUCAGCGGGGAGGCGUUACCCGCAGAAGAAGCACCGGCUAACUCCGUGCCAGCCGCCGCGGUAAUUC